GGGAGGAUCACCUCCCUCCACCUGCUGGCAGUACUCUUCCAAAUGCACCCCAGGAUCCCAUUGGCCUUCUUGGCCACAAGGGCCCAUUGCUGUCUCAUGGUUAAGCUGUU